AUGUGUUGCUGCAUCCUGAGAACCACUAAAUCUUCUACUCUUGCUCCCUCUCUCUUCUCCAGAUCUCCUCUCACUCUUUCUCCAGAUAUCCUCCUCUCUCUCUCUCUCUCUCUCUCUCUUCCACAGAUCUCCUCCUCUCUCUCUCUCGCUCUUCCACAUAUCUCCUCUCUCUCUCUCUCUCUCGCUCUUCUAUGGAUCUCCUCUCUCUCUCUCUUCUCCAGAUCUCCCCUCUCUCUCUCUCUCUCUCUCUCUCUCUCUCUCUCUCUCUCUCGCUCCUACAGAUCUCUUCCCUCACUCGCUCUCUCUCUUCUAGAUCUCCUCCUCUCUCUCCUCCAGAUCUCCUCCUCGCGCUCUCCUCCAGAUCUCUUCCCUCACUCGCUCUCUCUUCUAGAUCUCCUCCUCUCUCUCUUCCAGAUCUCCUCGCGCUCUCUCUCUCCUCCAGAUAUUCUACUCUCUCUCUCCACCAAUCUCCUUCUCUCUCUCCUCCAGAUCUCUCGCUCUCUCUCUCUCCUCCAGAUCUCCUACUCACUCUCUCCUCCAGCUCUCUUUCCCUGCUCUCUCUCUUCUACACUCUCCUUCUCGCUCUCCCUCUCCUCCAGAUAUUCUCCUCUCUCUUUCAGAUCUCCUCCUCCAGAUCUUCUCCUCUCCUGUAGAUCUCCUCCUCUCUCUCUCUCCUCCAGAUCUCCUCCUCGCUCUUUCUCCUCCAGAUCUCGCUCCUCCUCGCUCUCUCCUCCAGAUUUCCUCCCUUGCCAUCUCACUCCUCCAGAUAUUCGCCUCUCUCUCUCCGCCGGAUAUCGUCCCUCACUCUCUCUCCUCCAAAUUUCCUCCCUCGCCCUCUCUCCUCUGGAUCUCCUCCUCACUCUCCUCCCUUGCUAUCUCUCUCCUCCAGAUAUUCUCCUCUCUCUCCUCCAGAUCUCCUCCCUCGCUCUCUCUCUCUCCUCCAGAUUUCCUCCCUUGCCAUCUCUCUCCUCCAGAUAUUCUCCUCUCUCUCUCCUCCAGAUCACGUCCUCGCUUUCUCUCCUCCAGAUCUCCUCUCUCCUCUCUCGCUAUCUCGCUCCUCCAGAUAUGCUCUCUCUCUCCUCCAGAUCUCCUCCCGCGCCCUCUGUCUCCUCCAGAUCUCUUCCUAGCUCCCUCUCCUUCAGAUCUCCUCCUCACUCUCCUCCCUCGCUAUCUCUCUCCUCCAGAUAUUAUCCUCUCUCUCUCCUCCAGAUCUUCUUCCUUGCUCUCUCUCUCUCCUUCAGAUCUCCUCCUCGCUCUCUCUCGCCUCCUCGCUCUCUCUCGCCUCCUCGCUCUCUCUCCUCCAGAUCUCCUCACUCACCAUCUCUCCUCCAGAUCUCCCUCGCUCUCUCUCUCCUCCCUCAGUCUCUCUCCUCCCUGCUCUCUCUCCUCCCUCGCCAUCUCCCCUCCAGAUAUUGUCCUCCAGAUCUCCUCCCUCGCCAUCUCUCCUCCAGAUAUUCUCCUCUCUCCUCCAGAUCUCCUCCCUCGCUCUCUCUCUCCUCCAGAUAUUCUCCUCGCACUCUCGCUCCUCCAGAUAUUUCCCCCUUUGCUCCAGAUCUCCUCUCUCUCUCCUCCAGAUCUCCUCUUGUCCCUCUCCUCCAGAUCUCCUCCUCUCCCUCUCUCUCGCUCAUCCAGAUCUCCUCCUCUCCCUCUCUAUCGCUCCUCCUCCUCUCUCGCUCUCUCCUCCAGAUCUCUUCCUCUCCCUCUCUCCUCCAGAUCUCCUCCUCCUCUCUCUCGCUGUCUUCCUCUCCUUGUCUCUCUCUCCCCUCCAGAUCUCCUCCUCUCUCUUGCUCUCUCCUCCAGAUCUCCUCCUCUGUCGCUUUCGCCUCCAGAAAUCCUCCUCUCACUAUUCUCCACCAGCUCUCCUCCUCUCGCUAUUCUCCUCCAGCUCUCCUCCUCUCACUAUUCUCCUCCAGAACUCCUCCCUCGCUCUCUCUUUCCUCCAGAUAUUCUCCUCGCUCUCUCUCUCCUCCAGAUAUUUUCCUCUCUUUCCUCCAGAUCUCCUCUCUCCCCUCCAGAUCUCUCCCUCCUCCAGAUCUCCUCCUCUCCCUCUCUCUCCUCCUCUCCCUCUCUCCUCCAGAUCUCCUCCUCUCUCUUGCUCUCUCCUCCAGAUCUUCUCCUCUGUCGCUUUCGCCUCCAGACCUCCUCCUCUCACUAUUCUCCACCAGCUCUCCUCCUCUCGCUAUUCUCCUCCAGAUCUCCUCCUCUCACUAUUCUCCUCCAGAACUCCUCCCUCGCUCUCUCUUUCCUCCAGAUAUUCUCCUCGCUCUCUCUCUCCUCCAGAUAUUUUCCUCUCUCUCUUCCAGAUCUCCUCGCGCUCUCUCUCUCCUCCAGAUAUUCUACUCUCUCUCUCCACCAAUCUCCUUCUCUCUCUCCUCCAGAUCUCUCGCUCUCUCUCUCUCCUCCAGAUCUCCUACUCACUCUCUCCUCCAGCUCUCUUUCCCUGCUCUCUCUCUUCUCCGCUCUCCUUCUCGCUCUCCCUCUCCUCCAGAUAUUCUCCUCUCUCUUUCAGAUCUCCUCCUCCAGAUCUUCUCCUCUCCUGUAGAUCUCCUCCUCUCUCUCUCUCCUCCAGAUCUCCUCCUCGCUCUUUCUCCUCCAGAUCUCGCUCCUCCUCGCUCUCUCCUCCAGAUUUCCUCCCUUGCCAUCUCACUCCUCCAGAUAUUCGCCUCUCUCUCUCCGCCGGAUAUCGUCCCUCACUCUCUCUCCUCCAAAUUUCCUCCCUCGCCCUCUCUCCUCUGGAUCUCCUCCUCACUCUCCUCCCUUGCUAUCUCUCUCCUCCAGAUAUUCUCCUCUCUCUCCUCCAGAUCUCCUCCCUCGCUCUCUCUCUCUCCUCCAGAUUUCCUCCCUUGCCAUCUCUCUCCUCCAGAUAUUCUCCUCUCUCUCUCCUCCAGAUCACGUCCUCGCUUUCUCUCCUCCAGAUCUCCUCUCUCCUCUCUCGCUAUCUCGCUCCUCCAGAUAUGCUCUCUCUCUCCUCCAGAUCUCCUCCCUCGCCCUCUGUCUCCUCCAGAUCUCCUCCUAGCUCCCUCUCCUUCAGAUCUCCUCCUCACUCUCCUCCCUCGCUAUCUCUCUCCUCCAGAUAUUAUCCUCUCUCUCUCCUCCAGAUCUUCUUCCUUGCUCUCUCUCUCUCCUUCAGAUCUCCUCCUCGCUCUCUCUCGCCUCCUCGCUCUCUCUCCUCCAGAUCUCCUCACUCACCAUCUCUCCUCCAGAUCUCCCUCGCUCUCUCUCUCCUCCCUCAGUCUCUCUCCUCCCUGCUCUCUCUCCUCCCUCACCAUCUCCCCUCCAGAUAUUGUCCUCCAGAUCUCCUCCCUCGCCAUCUCUCCUCCAGAUAUUCUCCUCUCUCCUCCAGAUCUCCUCCCUCGCUCUCUCUCUCCUCCAGAUAUUCUCCUCGCACUCUCGCUCCUCCAGAUAUUUCCCCCUUUGCUCCAGAUCUCCUCUCUCUCUCCUCCAGAUCUCCUCUUGUCCCUCUCCUCCAGAUCUCCUCCUCUCCCUCUCUCUCGCUCAUCCAGAUCUCCUCCUCUCCCUCUCUAUCGCUCCUCCUCCUCUCUCGCUCUCUCCUCCAGAUCUCUUCCUCUCCCUCUCUCCUCCAGAUCUCAUCCUCCUCUCUCUCGCUGUCUUCCUCUCCUUGUCUCUCUCUCCCCUCCAGAUCUCCUCCUCUCUCUUGCUCUCUCCUCCAGAUCUCCUCCUCUGUCGCUUUCGCCUCCAGAAAUCCUCCUCUCACUAUUCUCCACCAGCUCUCCUCCUCUCGCUAUUCUCCUCCAGAUCUCCUCCUCUCACUAUUCUCCUCCAGAACUCCUCCCUCGCUCUCUCUUUCCUCCAGAUAUUCUCCUCGCUCUCUCUCUCCUCCAGAUAUUUUCCUCUCUUUCCUCCAGAUCUCCUCUCUCCCCUCCAGAUCUCUCCCUCCUCCAGAUCUCCUCCUCUCCCUCUCUCUCCUCCUCUCCCUCUCUCCUCCAGAUCUCCUCCUCUCUCUUGCUCUCUCCUCCAGAUCUUCUCCUCUGUCGCUUUCGCCUCCAGACCUCCUCCUCUCACUAUUCUCCACCAGCUCUCCUCCUCUCGCUAUUCUCCUCCAGAUCUCCUCCUCUCACUAUUCUCCUCCAGAACUCCUCCCUCGCUCUCUCUUUCCUCCAGAUAUUAUCCUCGCUCUCUCUCUCCUCCAGAUAUUUUCCUCUCUUUCCUCCAGAUCUCCUCUCUCCCCUCCAGAUCUCUCCCUCCUCCAGAUCUCCUCCUCUCCCUCUCUCUCCUCCUCUCCCUCUCUCCUCCAGAUCUCCUCCUCUCCCUCUCUCCUCCAGAUCUCCUCCUCUCUUGCUAUUCUCCUCCAGAUCUCCUCCUCUCACUAUUCUCCUCCAGAUCUGUUCCUCUCGCUAUUCUCCAGAUCUGUUCCGUCUACGUGGCAUCUAA
ensembl:lncRNA